GGCUGGAUAGCUCAGUGGAUAGAGCUACUGGUAAUUGUCCAGGAGGUCCUGGGUUCAAACCCCAGUUUGGUCA
rnacentral:tRNA from 1 species